UGUCUCAGCCUACAAAGUUGCUGGAACUCUAGCUAUGAGCCUAGCAGUGAGGCCCAACUCAGUUUACAAGGCUUGCAAACCAGGUGUCAACUGGCUGCCUGUGAGACAAUGCUUUUAGGUGACCAGAAGGCAAGGAUUUCCCAGUCCCUGGAAACCAGAUGCCCAUCCUCCAUGCAAACAAGUGAGGUGGAGUGUCCGUGCCAGUGCCUACACCUGCCCGGAGGCAGCUGGUCAGGGUCUCACUCCAUUGCCCAGGCUGGAUGGUAGUGGCAUGAUCACUGCUCACUGCGGCUCGACCUGGGUUCAAGUGAUCCUCCUACCUCAGCCUCCUGAGUAGCUGAGACUACAGGCAUGAGCCGUCACGCCCAGCUAAUUUUUUUUUUAAAUAGAGACGGGGUCUCGCUAUGUUGCCCAGGCUGAUCUCAAACCCUUGGGCUCAACCGAUCUGCCUGCCUUGGCAUCCCAAAGUGCCGGAAUUACAGGUGUGAGCCACCACGCCCAGCCCAUAGCUCAUUUUUGAUGGAGAGGUCCCUCCCUGACCAGGCAGUUCCCCUCCCUAUGCCAUCACAUUCUUCUCCCUCAAACCUGCCCCUGCCUUAUUUUGUCUCAUCACUUAUGACCCCUUGAUAUGCCUGUUGAUUUGGAUAACGUCUUAUACCCCCCACUGGAACAUAAGCUCUAUGAGAGUAGGGCUUGGCCAUCUUGUUCACGGCUGUAUCCUCAGUGCCUAGCACAGCACCAGGUGCACAGCGGGUUCUUGAGAAAACCUGUUGUAAUCAAGGCCAUCUCUGCCGGCAGGUCUGAGCUUCUGGAAGGUGGGGGUGGAAUGUCAUGCAUCUUGGUGUCCUGGCAUCUAGCACAGGGCCAGGCAUGGAGGAGGCUGUGGCUAAUUCAUGGUGCUGAUGAUUUGCUCUGGAGAUAGAGGGGCUCACUGGGG
rnacentral:lncRNA from 1 species